rnacentral:ribozyme from 1 species
UGCCAAGCAACUCCUAUCGCUACCUCCUCGUGGCACUGGCCGGGGUGCGAGAAACCUUAGGGAAGAUCCGGUAACCAACCCCGGUGGG